CGCGUAGGGUGCGAGCGUUGUCCGGAAUUAUUGGGCGUAAAGAGCUCGUAGGCGGUCUGUCGCGUCGGUCGUGAAAACCUGCAGCUUAACUGUGGGCUUGCGGUCGAUACGGGCAUGACUGGAGUUCGGCAGGGGAGACUGGAAUUCCUGGUGUAGCGGUGAAAUGCGCAGAUAUCAGGAGGAACACCGGUGGCGAAGGCGGGUCUCUGGGCCGAUACUGACGCUGAGGAGCGAAAGCGUGGGGAGCGAACAGG
rnacentral:rRNA from 1 species